AUUGAACGCUGGCGGCAGGCCUGACACAUGCAAGUCGAACGGUAGCACAGAGAGCUUGCUCUCGGGUGACGUGUGGCGGACGGGUGAGUAACGUCUGGGAAACUGCCCGAUGGAGGGGGAUAACUACUGGAAACGGUAGCUAAUACCGCAUAACGUCGCAAGACCAAAGUGGGGGACCUUCGGGCCUCACACCAUCGGAUGUGCCCAGAUGGGAUUAGCUAGUAGGUGGGGUAAUGGCUCACCUAGGCGACGAUCCCUAGCUGGUCUGAGAGGAUGACCCGCCACACUGGAACUGGGACACGGGCCAGACUCCUACGGGAGGCAGCAGUGGGGAAUAUUGCACAAUGGGCGCAAGCCUGAUGCAGCCAUGCCGCGUGUAUGAAGAAGGCCUUCGGGUUGUAAAGUACUUUCAGCGGGGAGGAAGGCGGUGGAGUUAAUAACUUCACCGAUUGACGUUACCCGCAGAAGAAGCACCGGCUAACUCCGUGCCAGCAGCCGCCGUAA
rnacentral:rRNA from 1 species